rnacentral:lncRNA from 1 species
UUUUUUGGAUGAAAAAUGAAAUUACUAUGAUUUUUUUAUAAAAAAAAAAAAAGCAAUUAAAAAUGAAAAAAGAAAAAGAAAUAAAAUCUGAAAAAAAAACACGAAACAGUAGAUCAAGCCUCAUUAACUGACGUUGCAUAUCCAACAAUCACAAGACUAAAGCGCACAAUAGAAUUUAGCAAAAAAUGAAACAUGUGAUCUAAUUCAAAAUGGAUCAGUCGGAACAUUUCAAAUUGUCAACGUGUAUCCAAACUCAUAUGACCUGAGAUAACUCCGGUCAUCUUCCCCGAUGAUUCCUCACCAGUGUAAGACCCCAAUUUUAACCCUAAGACCCCUCAUGCUAUCUCAUCAUAUGCAUUAGCAUUGGAAUCAC